CCCUCAGUGGCGAAAUGGUAGACGCAGUGGACUUAAAAUCCACCGAUGGUGACAUCGUGCCAGUUCAAGUCUGGCCUGAGGGA
rnacentral:tRNA from 1 species